rnacentral:lncRNA from 1 species
CCCAGGUGUAUUUUGGGCACCCCCAGGUGUAUUUUGGGUGCCCCCAGGUGCAUUUUGGGUACCCCCAGGUGUAUUUUGGGCACCCCCAGGUGUAUUUUGGGCACCCCCAGGUGCAUUUUGGGUGCCCCCAGGUGUGUUUUGGGUGCCCCCAGGUGUGUUUUGGGUGCCCCCAGGUGCCCCCAGGUGCCCCCAGGUGUGCCCAGGUGUAUUUUGGGCGCCCCCAGGUGUAUUUUGGGCACCCCCGGGUGUAUUUUGGGUGUCCCCAGGUGUGCCCAGGUGCCCCCAGGUGUGCCCAGGUGUGCCCAGGUGUAUUUUUGGGUGUCCCCAGGUGUAUUUUGGGUACCCUGGGCUCUAUCCCGGGUGUAUUUUGGGUACCCCCAGGUGUAUUUUGGGUGCCCUGAGAUGCCCCCAGGUGUAUCCCAGGUGUGCCCAGGUGUGCCCAGGUGUAUUUUGGGUACCCCCAGGUGUAUCCCAGGUGUGCCCAGGUGUGCCCAGGUGUGCCCAGGUGUAUUUUGGGUACCCCCAGGUGUAUCCCAGGUGUGCCCAGGUGUGCCCAGGUGUGCCCAGGUGUGCCCAGGUGUGUUUUUGGGUACCCCCAGGUGUAUUUUGGGUACCCCCAGAUGUGUUUUGGGCACCGCCAGGUGUGUUUUGGGUGCCCCAGGUGUAUUUUGGGUACCCCCAGGUGUAUUUUGGGUGUAUUUUGGGUGCCCCCAGGUGUAUUUUGGGUGCCGCCAGGUGUAUCCCAGGUGCCCCCAGGUGUGCCCAGGUGUGCCCAGGUGUGCCCAGGUGUGCCCAGGUGUGCCCAGGUGUAUUUUUUGUCCCCCCAGGUGCAUUUCACCCCCGAGUGCCGCUUCAAGGAGUGCCCUGGGUGUCCCUGGGCUCUGUCCCAGGUGUAUUUUGGGUACCCCCAGGUGCAUUUUGGGCACCCCCAGGUGCAUUUUGGGUGCCCCCAGGUGCAUUUUGGGCACCCCCAGGUGUGUUUUGGGUGCCCCCAGGUGUGUUUUGGGUGCCCCCAGGUGUGUUUUGGGUGCCCCCAGGUGUAUUUUGGGUACCCCCGGGUGUAUUUUGGGCGCCCCCAGGUGUGCCCAGGUGUGCCCAGGUGUGCCCAGGUGUAUUUUUGGGUGUCCCCAGGUGUAUUUUAGGUACCCUGGGCUCUGUCCCAGGUGUAUUUUGGGUACCUCCAGGUGUAUUUUGGGCACCCCCAGGUGUAUUUUGGGUACCCUGAGGUGCCCCCAGGUGUAUCCCAGGUGUGCCCAGGUGUGCCCAGGUGUAUUUUUUCUCCCCCCAGGUGCAUUUCACGCCCGAGUGCCGCUUCAAGGAGUGCGUG